rnacentral:rRNA from 1 species
GACGAACGCUGGCGGCGUGCUUAACACAUGCAAGUCGAACGGAAAGGCCAGUGCUUGCACUGGUACUCGAGUGGCGAACGGGUGAGUAACACGUGGGUGAUCUGCCUUGCACUCUGGGAUAAGCUUGGGAAACUGGGUCUAAUACCGGAUAUGAACUGCCUUUAGUGUGGUGGUUGGAAAGUUUUUUCGGUGCAAGAUGAGCUCGCGGCCUAUCAGCUUGUUGGUGGGGUAAUGGCCUACCAAGGCGUCGACGGGUAGCCGGCCUGAGAGGGUGUACGGCCAACUUUGGACCGAGGUACGGGCCAGACUUCCUACGGGGGCAAGCGGGGGGGAAAAUUCAAAAAUGGCGGAAGCCUGAUGCAGCGACGCCGCGUGGGGGAUGACGGCCUUCGGGUUGUAAACUCCUUUCGACAGGGACGAAGCGUAAGUGACGGUACCUGUAGAAGAAGCACCGGCUAACUACGUG